GUUCCUCAAAUAUUACAAAAAUUUAAAAGAACUCUGAAAUUAAAUUGAAUUUAAAAAAACUUUAUUGUGACAAUAUUUUAUUCGUAAAUUAGACGCACAGCGAGAUUUACUGUAUCCUUUAGUGAAUUAUUUUAGUGUCAUUUCAACAUUCAGACAUUGAGUAUUGAAGAAUUGAUCACGGUUUUUCACCGAGGCGAGCCUUACAUUAAUUGCACGGGACUUGUAGAUUUCUAAAAGUUGAAAAAAUAAUCGCUUCAGACGCACUUUAUCGGCAUUACGUUCUUGGAAACAUAAUCCAUAAUCUAUACUCAACGUAACAUUGCACGUGGACUAGUACUCUACACUAUGACUCAA